UACGUAGGGGGCAAGCGUUGUCCGGAAUCAUUGGGCGUAAAGAGCGUGUAGGCGGCCCGGUAAGUCCGCUGUGAAAGUCCAGGGCUCAACCCUGGGAUGCCGGUGGAUACUGUCGGGCUCGAGUCCGGAAGAGGAGUGUGGAAUUCCUGGUGUAGCGGUGAAAUGCGCAGAUAUCAGGAGGAACACCAAUGGCGAAGGCAGCCCCCUGGGUCAAGAUUGACGCUCAUGCGCGAAAGCGUGGGGAGCAAACAGG
rnacentral:rRNA from 1 species